rnacentral:rRNA from 1 species
UGCGCCUUGCCAGCCCGCUCAGAAACUACAAAGGAAUUGACGGGAACCCGCACAAGCGGUGGAGUAUGUUGUUUAAUUCGAGGAUACACGAAGAACCUUACCAGGUCUUGACAUACCAUUGACCGUUCUAGAGAUAGAAUUUUCCCUUUCGGGGGACAAUGGAUACAGGUGGUGCAUGGUUGUCGUCAGCUCGUGCCGUGAGGUGUUGGGUUAAGUCCCGCAACGAGCGCAACCCUUAUCGAUAGUUGCUAAUAUUAAGUUAAGGACUCUAUUGAGACUGCCAGCGACAAGCUGGAGGAAGGUGGGGAUGACGUCAAAUCAUCAUGCCCUUUAUGACCUGGGCUACAAACGUACUACAAUGGCCAAAUACAAAGAGAUGCGAAGCCGCGAGGUGGAGCGAACCUCAUAAAAAUGGUCUCAGUUCGGAUUGGAGUCUGCAACUCGACUCCAUGAAGUCGGAAUCGCUAGUAAUCGCGAGUCAGCAGAUCGCGGUGAAUACGUUCCCGGGUUUU